UAAGUUUCAAAAGCAUAUGAAAUCUUCGACUCAUCGAUUUUCAAAUCGGUAAGAAAGAGUCACCCGUCUCUAUAUUGUUCAGCCUCUAGGUUGUUGUAGGUGUUAGAAUUGAUUUUAGCGAGAGCUGUCCCAUCUGAUACAACAAACGUAACACAAAUUUCUUCGUAAUAGCCAUGAGAUUGGAGAUGACUGAAAAGAUUGGGAUUAGUAGACUAACGUCAAAACCAUGAGGAAGAAUGGGAGCAUUCUCAUAAUUGCUAAUCACUUAGAUUCUUCGACAAUCUUUCUUCAAUUUAUUUAUUUUAAUCUCUAAAACAAAACAAAAAAAUACAAAUCAAAAAUCAAUUUAUGGGUUAUUUUGAUUAUUUUCUAAAGAAAAUACCACAUAUAUUCUCCAUUUCGCUAGAUUCAGAUCAUUUUCUCUUUGUGAGGAUGAAUUUUUCGGAGGAUUCGAAGCAUUUAAUUUAGAUCAUUUUCUCUUUCUUGGGCCGGAGGA